rnacentral:rRNA from 1 species
UAGGGAAUAUUGGGCAAUGGGCGGAAGCCUGACCCAGCCACGCCGCGUGCAGGAAGACGGCCCUCUGGGUUGUAAACUGCUUUUAACUGGGAAGAAAAGAGGCUUUGCGAAGCAAGUUGACGGUACCAGUUGAAUAAGCCACGGCUAACUACGUGCCAGCAGCCGCGGUAAUACGUAGGUGGCGAGCGUUAUCCGGAUUUAUUGGGUUUAAAGGGAGCGUAGGCGGCUGAUUAAGUCAGCGGUGAAAGGUAGCAGCUUAACUGUUUUACAUGCCGUUGAUACUGGUUAGCUUGAGUUGACAGAAGGCAGAUAGAAUUCCUGGUGUAGCGGUGAAAUGCUUAGAUACCAGGAGGAAUACCGAUUGCGAAGGCAGUCUGCUGCAGUCACACUGACGCUGAGGCUCGAAGGUGCGGGGAUCAAACAGGAUUAGAUACCCUGGUAGUCCGCACAGUAAACGAUGAUUACUAGAUGUUGGCCAAGCCAGUGUCCAAGGGAAACCGAUAAGUAAUCCACCUGGGGAGUACGCCGGCAACGGUG